rnacentral:rRNA from 1 species
AGAGCGAACGCUGGCGGCAUGCUUAACACAUGCAAGUCGCACGGUCAGCAAUGGCAGUGGCGGACGGGUGAGUAACACGUAGGAAUCUAUCUCUGGGUGGGGGACAACCAUGGGAAACUAUGGCUAAUACCGCAUGAUACCUGAGGGUCAAAGGCGCGAGUCGCCUGGAGAGGAGCCUGCGUCUGAUUAGCUUGUUGGUGGGGUAAAGGCCUACCAAGGCGACGAUCAGUAGCUGGUCUGAGAGGAUGAUCAGCCACAUUGGGACUGAGACACGGCCCAAACUCCUACGGGAGGCAGCAGUGGGGAAUAUUGGACAAUGGGGGCAACCCUGAUCCAGCAAUGCCGCGUGUGUGAAGAAGGUCUUCGGAUUGUAAAGCACUUUUGGCAGGGACGAUGAUGACGGUACCUGCAGAAUAAGCCCCGGCUAACUUCGUGCCAGCAGCCGCGGUAAUACGAAGGGGGCUAGCGUUGCUCGGAAUGACUGGGCGUAAAGGGCGCGUAGGCGGCACAUACAGUCAGACGUGAAAUUCCUGGGCUCAACCUGGGGACUGCAUUUGAUACGUGUGAGCUAGAGUG